CUACGGGUGGCAGCAGUAGGGAAUAUUGCACAAUCGACGAAAGUCUGAUGCAGCAACGCCGCGUGUGCGAUGAAGGCCUUCGGGUUGUAAAGCACUUUUCUGAGGGAAGAGAAAGGACGGUACCUCAGGAAUAAGUCUCGGCUAACUACGUGCCAGCAGCCGCGGUAAUACGUAGGAGGCGAGCGUUAUCCGGAUUUAUUGGGCGUAAAGCGCGUGCAGGUGGUUUGGUAAGUUGGGUAUGAAAUCUUCUGGCUUAACUAGGAGAGGUUGCUCAAAACUGCCAGACUAGAGGACGGUAGAGGAAGGUGGAAUUCCCGGUGUAGUAGUGAAAUGCGUAGAUAUCGGGAGGAACACCAGUGGCGAAGGCGGCCUUCUGGGCCGUUCCUGACACUAAGACGCGAAAGCAUGGGUAGCAAACGGGAUUAGAUACCCGCGUAGUC
rnacentral:rRNA from 1 species